AUGAAAGUGUAUUCCACUUCAAGAAGAUGUGAGGGAAGAAGAAAGCAACCACCUAGUACAGUAUCAUGUUUGGGAGAAAGAAGAAAGGGAAUAGGCUCAAGACUUCUUUUCUUUCCCAGAGUCCUGCAGGAAAGUCAGAAGUCCAACUGGUUGGAUUUACACUGUUUAGUUGGAGGCCACCAUGACCUGGAAGAAUAUUUACACAAGCCAAUGUCAGGCCUCUGAGCUGGAGCUAAGCCAGUGUGGCCCUUGGGACCUGCACGUAUACAUCCAGAUGGCCUGCAGGAACCAAGAAGUUUCUUUUGGGAAACCACAAAAGAAGUGAAACAGCCAGUUUCUGCCUUAACUGAUUAACCAACCUUACGACAUUCCACCAUUAUGACUUCUUCCUGCCCUACCCUAACUGAUCAGUCGACCUUAUGACAUUCUUCUCCUGGACAAUGGAUCUCAUGAUCUCCCCACCAUGCACCUUGUGAUCCCCUCCCCUGCUGACAACAGAUAACCACCUCCAACGGUAACUUUCCAUGGCCUACCCAAGUCCUAUAAAGCUACCCCUCUCCUAUCUCCCUUUGCUGACUCUCUUUUUGGACUCAGCCCACUUGCACCCUAGUGAAUAAACAGUCUUGUUGCUUACACAAAGCCUGUUUAGGUGGUCUUCUAUACGGACACGCGUGACAACCAAUGGCCUUAGAAAGAUGAUGACUUCUUUCCUAGCAAAUUGAAUCCCAUUUGAGAUUAUAAAGGUGGAGCUAUCUCAUGCUCUUCUGCAGAGCAGAUGUGCCAUAUUCCAGAGUAAAGAAGACAAUGUGUCUGCAGAGAGGACAAGUGAAGCUUUGCCAGUCGUCUAUGUAAGGACAGAGUUUCCAAAUCUCAGGGUUCCUGAAACGUGCCACUGAUGUGUCGCUUCUGGGUCAAAACGUGUAAAAGUGGUGUGCCUUCUCCAUAGCUUCCUUUUGCUCUCGUUAGCUGAAUCGAGGGAAUGCCAGCAACCUCAGAGACAGUGGCCUGACCAGAUGGGAGAAGCCUGAGUCCCUGAAUUACCCCGCGGGAGGCUGCCUGACCACCAAGGCUGCCACUGUGCUGCACUGUGAGUGAGCAAAGAAUUUUCACUGGCUUAAGCCACUUAGAAUUCAGGAAUCAUCUGAUAUAGCAUCUCACGUUACCUUAAAUAAUACAAGCUGUGUUGGGAAAAUAGUAUUUAUUAAUUGCCUUUUAUAUUCCCAACAUUGUACUAGGCAAUUUUACAUGUGUUAUCUCAUUUAACUGUAAAGCAACCUUGAAAUUUAGUUGUUAUUUUAAUUUUACAGAUGAAGGACCUGAAACUUAGAAGGGUUACAUGUUUGUUUGUUUGUUUUUUUCUCCUCGCAAGAUUACACAGCUAACGAAAUAAGGUAGGAAUGAAACCUGGUCUCCCUGGCUCCAGAAAUUAUGCUGCCCUGCCUUCUAGAAGCUAAUUAUUUCAUUAAAAAUUGUUUAAAUAGGCCAGGUGCGGUGGCUCACGCUUGUAAUUCCAGCACUUUGGGAGGUCAAGGCAGGUGGAUCAUGAGGUCAGGAGUUUGAGACCAGCCUGACCAAUAUGGUGAAACCCCAUCUCUACUAAAAAUACAAAAAUUCGCCGGGUGUGGUGGCACAUGCCUGUAGUCCUAGCUACUCAGGAGGCUGAGGCAGAAAAAUCACUUGAAACCGGCAGGCGGGAAUUGCAGUGAACUGAGAUUGCGCCACUGCACUCCAGCCUGGGCGACAGAGUAAGACUCCAUCUCAAACAAAAAAAAAAAAAGAAAAAAGAAAAAAAGAAGAAAAAAAUGUUUAAAUAAAUCUGGCUCACUUCCAGAAUGCCAGGAAUGGUUGAAAACAAUGCCAAUGAUCUCCAGCAUUCACACUGAUUCCCUUCUUGAGAUGUGUCCUGAUCUGUUACUCCUUGCUUCUUAGGCAUUUAUCACUGACCCUUGGCUCCAGAUACCAGCCUUAAUUCCUAUCUGGGACUUUGAUACUUUCCUGAUGGGUUAGAAAUUGUCUUCUAGGUCUGUUCUGUGGUCCUAGCCUUCUGGCUAUGGACAUAAAGAGCAAUAAAUGUAGGAAAGCCCCACAUUUCACUCGGGCAUUCUAAGCCCUGUAUUCACCAAGACAACUCUAUUUCACCUUCUUUCCCACUUGGGAGAGAGAGUGAGGCUGAUAUUAUGAAAGCAUUUCCAAGCUAUUUUACAUUGCCUGUUGUGCAGUGCAGUGCCAGACUCUUAAAAAAAUGCAAUAUAAAAUUUUAAGCCCAGUAGUAAAGUGUAAGUUGCCACAUAAUAGAACACUUAAAUUAUUGAGGGGAUAGCAUCAUCCUGAGAUUUCUCAAAGGAGUACUUGUUGAAGAGCUAUGUCUGCUCAGUGCAACCCUUGAAAGCAAUAAUGUGGUCUAAAGUCUGUAUUUUUCAAGAACUAAAAGAGAAAAUGUUUUGUUUUGCUAAACUGGCAUGUGCAUUUUCGUCUCCUCUACCAGACUGAGUGCUCCUCCACCAGACUGAGUGCUCCUCCAGGUGUGUCAAGACUUCCUGUACUUUUGUCUCUCAAUGCACAUGCAGACUGCUGGUGCACAUGCCCUAAAAUGCUCAUAAAUUCCUGUGGCUCCUUUGAGAAUGCACUACCCUUCCCUAAAGACACCAAUGAGAUAAAUGAAGAUCAUAAAACAAAACACAUAUUCUGUUGGAAUUAAGUAUUCAGAAUAACUCCCAAAUGAAUAAUGUCAUUAUCCAAAUUAGAUUCAUUGUGCAUCUGUAAUGUGCAAAGUUCCAAGAUAUGUGUUAAGAGUUGUAAGUGCAUAGAACUCAAAGUAGGGGACUUCAAGAAGAUUAUAUUACUGACAAUGAGAUAGAUUACAAAUAGAGAAUGUAAAACUUCACAUAAGCAUAAUUUAGAUGUAAUAAAGAGGUAUUAUACAAAACAGCUUGCAUAUGGACUUUUAAAUUUUUGGAAAUUUUAUGACACAUAAUUGAUGUACAAAGCUUUGGGGUAUAUGUGAUAAAUUAAUACAUUAAUAUAAUUUGUACAGGUCAAAUCAGUGUAACUGGGAACUCCACCACCUUAAAUUUUUGUCUCUUCUUUAUGCUAUUAAUAGAAACACUUGAAUUACUCUCUUUGAGCUAUUUUUUUAAAAAUUAUACUUUAAGUUCUAGGGUACAUGUGCACAACAUGCAGGUUUGUCAAAUAUGUAUACAUGUGCCAUGUUGCUGUGCUGCACCCAUUAACUCAUCAUUUACAUUAGGUAUAUCUCCUAAUGCUAGCCCUCCCCCCUCCCCCUACCCCACAAUAGGCACCAGUGUGUGAUGUUCCCCUUCCUGUGUCCAAGUGAUCUCAUUUUUCAAUUCCCACUUAUGAGUGAGAACAUGCAGUGUUUGGUUUUCUGUUCUUGCAAUAGUUUGCUGAGAAUGAUGGUUUCCAGCUGCAUCCAUGUCCCUACAAAGGACAUGAACUCAUCCUUUUUUAUGGCUGCAUAGUAUUCCAUGGUGUAUAUGUGCCACAUUUUCUUAAUCAAGUCAGUCAUUGAUGGACAUUUGCAUUGAUUCCAAGUUUCAAGUCUUUGCUAUUAUGAAUAGUGUCACAAUAAACAUAUGUGUACAUCUGUGUUUAUAGCAGCAUGAUUUAUAAUCCUUUGGGUGUAUACCCAAUAAUGGGAUGGCUGGGUCAAAUGGUAUUUCUAGUUCUAGAUCCUUGAGGGAUCUCCACACUGUUUUCCACAAUGGUUGAACUAGCUUACAGUUCCACCAACACUGUAAAAGUAUUCCUAUUUCUCCACAUCCUCUCCAGCACCUGAUGUUUCCUGACUUUUUAAUGAUCGCCAUUCUAACUGGUGUGAGAUGGUAUCUCAUUGUGGUUUUGAUUUGCAUUUCUCUGAUGGUGAGUGAUGAUGAGCAUUUUUUCAUGUGUCUGUUGGCUUCAUAAAUGUCUUCUUUUGAGAAGUGUCUGUUCAUAUCCUUUGCCCACUUUUUGAUGGGGUUGUUUUUUUUUUUUUUCUUGUAAAUUUGUUUGAGUUCUUUGUAGGUUCCAGAUAUUAGCCCUUUGUCAGAUGAGUAGGUUACAAAAAUUUCCUCCCAUUCUGUAGGUUGCCUGUUCACUCUGAUGGUAGUUUCUUUUGCUGUGCAGAAGCUCUUUAGUUUAAUUAGAUCCCAUUUGUCAAUUUUGGCUUUUGUUGCCAUUGCUUUUGGUGUUUUAGACAUGAAGUCCUUGCCCAUGCCUAUGUCCUGAAUAGUAUUGCCUAGGUUUUCUUCUAGGGUUUUGAUAGUUUUAGGUCUAACAUUUAAGUCUCUAAUCCAUCGUGAAUUAAUUUUUGUAUAAGGAGUAAGGAAAGGAUCCAGUUUUAGCUUUCUACUUAUGACUAGUCAGUUUUCCCAGCACCAUUUAUUAAAUAGGGAAUCCUUUCCCCAUUUCUUGUUUUUGUCAGGUUUGUCAAAGACCAAAUGGAUGUAGAUGUGUGGUAUGAUUUCUGAGGGCUCUGUUCUGUUCCGUUGGUCUAUAUGUCUGUUUUGGUACCAGUACCAUGCUGUUUUGGUUACUGUAGCCUUGUAGUAUAGUUUGAAGUCAGGUAGUGUGAUGCCUCCAGCUUUGUUCUUUUGACUUAGGAUUGUCUUGGCAAUGAGGGCUCUUUUUUGGUUCCAUAUGAACUUUAAAGUAGUUUUUUCCAAUUCUGUGAAGAAAGUCAUUGGUAGCUUAAUGGGGAUGGCAUUGAAUCUAUAAAUUACCUUGGACAGUAUGGCCAUUUUCACGAUAUUGAGUCUUCCUAUCCAUGAGCAUGGAAUGUUCUUCCAUUUGUUUGUGUCCUCUUUUAUGUCAUUGAGAAGUGGUUUGUAGUUCUCCUUGAAGAGGUCCUUC
ensembl:lncRNA